rnacentral:lncRNA from 1 species
CAGCACUUUUUUAAUCACACUGCUUCUUGUAGCUUUUUUUGAGAAGCAAGGGGCAUCACACCAAAUCAUAGCCCAGUUUUACAGGACAAGCAAGCCCUUGGCCUGAUUUCAUCUGGAAAAUGUUACAUAUAGAGCCGUGGCUUCCAAACCUGGGCAUGGGGAUCUGAACUCUGUGUUUACAGAAAGCCCCUUGUUUGUUUGUUUUUUUGUACUGGGAAUCAAACUCAGGGCCUCACUCUUGCCAGGCAGGCGUGGUGCCCCUGACCUACAUUCUCAGCUCUGCCCCUUGUGUUAAGAACCAGUAAAACACUAAAGUAAAGCACAAAGAGGCGCGUAAGGGAUGGAGACUUUGUGUUGAGUCCAGCAGUGCUGAGAGGAUGUGACACCCAACGAUAAUAAGAUGUGCUGUGUUCCCUCUAUAUAUCACAUACGAAGGAACAGAAGAGCUGGAAGUGCAGAAGUGGGUUGUCGGGGUCAAAUUGCUUCCCAAGUCUAAACACCUGUGGAUAAUGAUGUUCAGGUUUCCAGCUGGUCAUUGGACAUUGAGUCUGGGUCUUAAGGAUGAAUUGAGGGCAAGGCUGAUCUGCCAUGCCGAAGGAGCUUUUCGCCACUAUGCCCUUCCACCAAGAUCUUUCUACCUUGGAGCCAAUUGACCAUGGACUGAAUCCUUUUAAAAGUAAGCCAGAUAUUCCUCGUUUAACCACCUACCUGUUCAAUGACUGAUGACUGGAUUUAACGACUUAGGCCUGCUGGUCGAACCUACUGACCUGCCACUCGGACUUGUCUUUUUUUCUUUUUUAUGUACAUCUUGUGUGUAGAACCUCAAUGUCUUUUUUCUUUUUG